GAUGUUUAAAGAAGCAAAAAAAGGCUGAGAAUAGCCAAAGAUUUUAAGGUGCCCUCUGUAUGAUUUAAAAGAUGGGUAUUUCUUCAACUUUCCCUUGGACAAUUUCAUGUCCAAGGGUUUGGUGAGCAGGGCAGGGCCGAGCGGCAUCUGGGCAGAGUGAGGACGGGAAGAUAAGUGAUGAAUGACUUCCACCUGCGUGCCACACCGGCCUCGCGUUCCAGCGAGUGGAGGCAGGAGUAUUUAAGGAGAGGAGACAGCGGCAGACCGGAGAGAGAUGUGGUGUACAAGUCGACAAAAGUGAAGUGAAGAGCUUGAGAUGAAUUACGAGACAAGUGAUGUUUGAAGAAAACAGAAAAAUCAAGGAUUUUUAACCAGGGGCGGACUGGCCAUCGGGAGAACCGGGACUUUUCCCUGUGGGCCGGCUGCAAAACUGGGCAGUGAUAUGCCAAAGUGGGCGGCGAUAUGAUGAAGGGGGCCGCUAUAAGCUGAAGGUGGCCGCGAAACAGUGCCGCGAUAUGGCGAAGGGUGCCGCGAUAUGCACAAGAUGACAGUGAAACACAUUUCCACAACCUUCAACCUCAUCCCACCCCACCCGCUCGACAACUUCACAUCGCAAACCCCCUACCCCCCACUCUACAAAUUUUCUCCAGGGCCAAUUUUUGUUCCCAGUCCCAGCAACAAGUGCCUAAGGGAUGAGGUGUCACACAAAUGCCAGGUCCGCAUUUGGGUAUUUUUCUUGCUCAAAGUUAACAAGCAAGAUCAUAUUAAACAGAAUACAUAUUAGUAAACACAUUUAAAGAGAGAAAGAAAGAGAGAAGGAGACAAUCAUGGACUCACAUUUGGCCCUGAGGGAGUGUCAGGUUGAGAUUGCUGAGGACUUUAAGUUUGCCAUAUGAACGACACACAUCACGACAAUGGAUUGCAGCACCGCAACUCCCUGCCUCCAAGUCAGCCUUCAU